AUUGAACGCUGGCGGCAGGCCUAACACAUGCAAGUCGAGCGGUAGAGAGGUGCUUGCACCUCUUGAGAGCGGCGGACGGGUGAGUAAUGCCUAGGAAUCUGCCUGGAAGUGGGGGAUAACGCUCGGAAACGGACGCUAAUACCGCAUACGUCCUACGGGAGAAAGCAGGGGACCUUCGGGCCUUGCGCUAUCAGAUGAGC
rnacentral:rRNA from 1 species